UGUGGUGUUUGCUUCCAGUGUUAUGUCAUGUUUGUUCUAGAACAUGGUGGCAAAGACCUUGAAAGCUUUGUUCUUUUGAACUUUGAUGAACAGUUUCGCUCAAUGUUCUGGAACAUGGUGGCAAAGAACAUGAUGAACUUUUGAACUUUCAUAAUCACCAUGUUCUGUUUCUCUUCUAUCUAACGACAGUUUCGCUCGAACAAAUAUUAUGUGGCGAAUUUAUCUCGUGACUAUCGUACUUACCAAGAAGUCAUUUGAACGGUCUUCAAAAAAACGAAAGAGAACUACGGUCACUAAAGAAGCGGAUGGAGAAGUAUGAAUCAGCUAAAGAGGCUGUUUCAGAUCCUUUCUUCUCAGAUAUGUUGAUGGACCAAACAUCAUGAAGAAUAUAAUAAACCCCAUAAGUGAUUAUCCCGAAGCUCCCUCUCUCUUUCGUGUGUAUAUUGUUUGCCUAGCCACUUAAAUCUACAGUAUUAGCUCUUGCUUCAUGAUAUGAUCUGUAUACCAAUCUCAAUCUCUUCAAAUGUAUGCAAGAACUGAUAUGUUAAUUAUUUUUUUGUA